AAGUCGUAACAAGGUAACCGUAGGUGAACCUGCGGUUGGAUCAUUAACAAUUAUUAUUGAGCCUCCCUCCCCCCCACGGGCGGGUAGGUUCUCUAACACUUGUGUGCACUGUUUAUUGUCUCUCGGCGUUCGAGGGUUGGGUAGCAGAGCUUGCUCUGAUGCCCUUGGGCUUUACGGCCUUGAUCUACCCUUGAGCGCCAACCUAAAACUUGAUUUUUGUAUUUAUACUCUAAGCCUUUAAUUUUAAAUUUUAUAAUUUGAAAACAACUUUUAACAACGGAUCUCUAGGCUCUCA
rnacentral:misc_RNA from 1 species